AGAGAGGAGGAGGAAUGUUGGCUGCAGGCUGUUUCCGGCGGCCGGGGCUGCUCGGCGGCGGCCGGAACGCGAGCACGGGCAGGGCAGGGAGGUGCUGGGAUGGCAGGGGCGGCUGGGGUCAGCUGGGGGGUUCUAGGGUUAGGGUUUGGUCCAAGAAAACCCUAGAUCCACCUAUAUAAAGGUGUGGAAAACUCGCGGAAAACCCCCUCGAAAGGAAUCUAUUUAAUCCCAGCUCUCAACCAGCAGUCGCACAAUGCGCGAUAGUCCCUCUGAGUUCGAAGACUCGCAAUUCGAUGCAUAAAAUAUAGGGCCUUUUCGCGAAUGAUCCGAUUUCUCAAAUCAGCCCCUUCGCGGACUUUUCGCGAUUCCCGAAGAUCCGUCCGUCAGAUUUCCGAUCGGAUCGCACCAGCGCGAUCAGCACGACAGAGGCAUCGAAUCUAGCAUUUCGUUU
rnacentral:lncRNA from 1 species